AGAGAUUCCCUGACCUUGAGACUCUGUGUGUUGAGAAAUGUCCCAAGUUGACAAUUCAACCGGGGUGAUAGAAGCACCAAAGCUGGUGUAUUACAAAUAAUAAAUGGCAGCCAACUGACAGCAAUAAUAGUCCCUACAGUUAUUAAUCAUCACGGCUUUCCAUAGAUCAUCUAUAUGUCCCCGUCGCGGUUUGGUGAGCGCGGAGUCAGCAAAGCGCGUGAGACCAGAGCAGGUCAAUAAAUUAAGCGCCCCAAGAAGGUCAGUGCUUGGCGUUGGUCUCCAUUUACCUCCAAACGCUUCCGCAGACCAUCCUCUUCUCCACUCCAAAGUGUCUUCUCAUUUCUCAGCGUGUGUUCUCGUGAGCUCUGACUGCUCCAAUGGCCGAGCUUGUGGGCAGCAUGGUGGUCGGGCCACUGCUGUCCCUGGUGAAGGAGAAGGCGUCCAGCUACCUCCUUGACCAGUACAAGGUCAUGGAGGGCAUGGAGGAGCAGCAUGAGAACCUCAAGGUCAUGCUGCCGGCCAUCCUGUAGAAUGCACAUGGAAAGCCGUGAUGAUAUUAUUUUGUAUUACGGCUUUCGAUGCAACCAAUAAAUUAAAGGUCUGUUUAGCUCACCCGUCACAUCGAAUAUUUGAUACUAAUUAGGAGUAUUAAACAUAGGCUAAUUACAAAACUAAUUGCACAGAUGGAGUCUAAUUCGCGAGAUGAAUCUAUUAAACCUAAUUAGUCCAUGAUUUGAUAAUGUGGUGCUACAGUAACCAUUUACUAAUGAUGGAUUAAUUAGGCUUAAUAGAUUCGUCUCGCGAAUUACACUCCAUCUGUGCAAUUAGUUUUUUAAUUAGCUCAUGCUUAGUCCUCCUAACUAGCAUCCGAACAUUCGAUGUGACACUGCUAAAGUUUAGCACAUAGUAUCUGUCGUUAAAUUAAGCGCCCCAAGAAACAGGUUUAUCAAAAAAAAAAAUUAAGCGCCCCAAGAAGGUCAGUGCUUGGCGUUGGUCUCCAUUUACCUCCAAAGCGCUUCCGCAGACCAUCCUCUUCUCCACUCCAAAGUGUGUUCUCAUUUCUCAGCGUGUGCUCCUCUGACUGCUCUAAUGGCCGAGCUUGUGGGCAGCAUGGUGGUCGGGCCACUGCUGUCCCUGGUGAAGGAGAAGGCGUCCAGCUACCUCCUUGACCAGUACAAGGUCAUGGAGGGCAUGGAGGAGCAGCAUGAGAACCUCAAGGUCAUGCUGCCGGCCAUCCUGGAAAGGAUCACUGCCGCAGAGAAGCAGGCAACCUCCAGAGAAGCAAUCAGACCCUGGCUUCAGAAGCUUAAGGUGGCGGCAUACGAGGCCAUCCAAGUCUUCGAUGAAUUCAACUAUGAGGCCCUCCGUCGUCAAGCCAAGAAAGAGGGGCGCUACAUCAAGCUCGGGAUGGGCAACCGCAUCAUGUUCCGUCGCAGGAUGGGCAACAAGCUUUGCAAGAUUGUGCGCGAUAUUGAGGCCCUUGUGAAGCAGAUGCGCGACUUUCGGUUCGACAAACAGCCACAAGCGCAGGUUCAGAUAAAUUAUCUGCGUGAGAAUGACUCCACCAUGGUUGAUCCAGAGAUUGUCAGCAGAUCCAGAGAUGAAGAGAAGCAAAAGAUUGUUAGAAUGUUGGUCAAAGAACAAGCUAACAAUAAGGAUCCGAUGGUCGUUCCCAUUGUGGGGAUGGGUGGGUUGGGCAAGACCACCCUAGCUCAGCUCAUCUUUAAUGACCCUGAAGUGAAGAAGCAUUUCCACCAACUAAUGAAGUGGGUCUGCGUGUCAGAUGAUUUCGAUGUUUGUAACCUUGCCAACAAGAUCUGCAACGCUUCUGAGAGCAACCUGGAGAAUGCCUUGCAGAACCUUCAGAGAGAACUCGCUGGAAAGAGGUACUUUUAGAAUUUAAUUUGAUGUUGAUUCACUCAUCUCAAACACGCACACUGGUUUUUUUUCCCUCACACAUGCUCAAAAUAUGUGCAUUGCCCUUGAGAAUAACACGUAAUUGAAAAGAACAAGUAAAGCACAUGCAAACUACAUACACAAAAUUCAACUUCAAACUUAGAUCAAGAAGACAACAACGCCUCACCACUAGCAAAUUGCCCUCUUGGAUAUGCACGGAACUUGCACAUCUCACAUACCAUUUACGCUUCCUCUGGUGGCAUUCACAUAACUUAAGAAAAAGACGUACACAAAUAGAAACGUACACAAAUAGAAACGCACUAAUGGCAUGAUUAUUUGUAACAGGUACCUUCUUGUAUUGGACGACGUCUGGAAUAAGGAUGAUAACAAGUGGAACAAGCUGAAUGCCUGUCUUAAACAUGGUGAUGUUGGUAGCGCCAUACUAACGACAACACGUGAUAAAGAAAUAGCUCAACUCAUGAGUACAGGUGAAGAACAUGGCAUUGCACGUUUGGACAAUAAAUUCAUCAAGGAAAUUAUUGAGGCUAAAGCAUUCAUUUCGCAAGAGAGAAAACCAACUGAUUUAGCUGGCUUGGUUGAUGACGUUGUUGAGAGAUGUGCAGGGUCUCCAUUGGCAGCCAAGGCACUAGGAUCUGUACUACGUGGCAAGACAAGCACGGAAGAAUGGAAGGCUGUGAUUAGCAAAAGCAUCGCCCAUAACAAGGAUGAUCGAAUCCUGCCUAUUCUCAAGCUCAGUUACGAUGACCUGCCAUCACACAUGAAGCAGUGUUUUGCUUUCUGUGCUGUGUUUCCCAAGGACCAUGAGAUUGACGUGGAAAGGCUGAUCCAACUAUGGAUGGCAAAUGACUUUAUUCCCGAGCAAAAAGAUGUUCGUCAUGAAACAAUUGGUAAACAGAUUUUCAGUGAGCUGGUCUCAAGGUCAUUCUUUGAAGAUGUGAAGCAAGUCAAAGGGACAAGAUAUGGUUUCGUGUAUUGGUAUUUGUCUACAAGUACAUGUAAAAUCCAUGAUCUUAUGCACGAUGUGGCACUAUCUGUCAUGGGCAAAGAAGUUGCUACCAUAACUGAGAAGCCAAAGCAGAGUGAUGAGUUUCUUCAGAACACUUGUCGUCAUAUAUUGUUAUCAUGUGACGAGCCAGAGGCCGUUUUGAAUGAUUCUCUGAAUAUAAGGUCGCCAGCUAUACAAACACUACUACUUGGGGAAGAUUUCUUGCCGACAUAUAUUUUUUUGAAGGAUCCGCGCAUAAAAUCCCUGCAGCAUCUCGCAAAAUACAGCUCUCUGCGUGCAUUGAGACUUUGGCAGACUAAGAGCACAAUCCUACUGAAACCAAAGCAGCUACAUCUCUUGAGGUAUCUUGAUAUCUCGUUUAGUGAUAUAGUGGCACUUCCGGAAGAUAUCAGCAUUUUGUACAAUCUGCAAACGCUGAAUAUUUCUAACUGUUGGAAACUUGGUCGACUUCCAAAGGGAAUAAAGUACAUGACUGCCCUCCGUCACCUCUACACUCACGGAUGUGAGGAGUUGAAGCGCAUGCCACCAGAGGUUGGACAUCUCACUUCCCUGCAAACACUUACAGAUUUUGUAGUGGGUACAGGCCCUGAUUGCAGUAGUAUUGCAGAGCUGCAGCAUUUAAACAACCUUGGUGGUCCACUACUGCUUAGUCAACUCGAAAAUGUGACAAAAGCAGCAGAUGCAAAACAGGCCAGUCUUGGAAAUAAAAAGGAGAUCAGGGAAUUGUCAUUAAGCUGGACAGGUAGUGAGGAGGAGAAACAACAUUGUCAUAAGGUGCUGGAGGGUCUCGAAGCUCCUCCUGGACUAGAGGCUCUGAGGAUACAGCAUUACCAAGGAACCAGUUUCCCAACAUGGAUGGGUACGCUGCCAAAAAUGGUGGAGCUUCGUCUUUUUGACUGUAACAAGUCCAAUAAGCUUCCUCCACUUGGGAGUGUAGCAGCUCUACAAGUUCUUCAUUUGAAAAGAUUGAAAAAACUGGAAAGCUUGUGCAGUGGUGGUACAUUCUUUCACUUUCCUAAUCUGAAGGAGCUUACGCUGGAAGACCUGCCGGAAUUUGAUAGAUGGUGUGAAGUAAACUGGGUCCAAGGAGAACAGAUAAUGUUUCCUCAACUUGAGAAAUUGUUUAUUACAAAUUGUGGAAAGGUUACAGCAUUACCAGGGCCAGCACUUCUCGGAGGAUCGUGCUGUGGAGAUUCCAAGGAGCAAGACGAGAGGAAGCUUUGGUCGGCAUUUCCAGUCCUGAAGGUACUCAAAUUACAAUGCUUAGCAAAGUUUCAGAGGUGGGGGGGCGCUGCUGAAGCAACUCAAGGGCAGCAGAUAAUAUUUCCUCAGCUUGAAAAGUUAUCAAUCAAAAAGUGCCCCGAACUGGCAGCAUUACCAUCAGCUACAUCUCAGGGAGUAUCAUUUGACCAUAGUGAUGUUACAGCAUGGUCAGCAUUUCCAAACUUAAAGAAGCUCUUGUUAGAAGACUUAGAAAGUUUUAAGAGCUUGGGGAUGACGGAAGCAACUCAUGGUGAACAGCAGAGAUUCUCUGACCUUGAGACUCUGGGUGUUAAGAAAUGUCCGAAGUUGACAAUUCAACCGGGGGUGAUAGAAGCACCAAAGCUCGGUGUAUUAGAAAUAAAUGGCAGCCAACUGACAGCAAUAAUAGUGCCUACAGUUAUUAACUCAUUGUCCGAACUGGUGUUAUCAGUCGAAGACACAGAAACUACUUUACCAACUGUGCAUGGUGCCUUUGAGCUGGUGGACGCCAGUAAUAAAUACCCUCUGACACAUCUGGAGCUAAGCGGCUGCAACUUUCUGUUCCCCUCAAGUCCACUGGCACUAUGGGCAUGUUUUGUCCAGCUGCAAGAUUUGAAAAUUGAGAAGAUCAACCAUGCGCUUGUCUACUGGCCAGAAAAAGAGUUCCAGAGCUUGGUAUCCUUGCGGCACCUUACCAUUUGGAAGUGCAGUGGUCUGAUUGGGUACGUGAAAGCCGCUCCUAGCCAACCAAUAUCAGAAAGGAGCCAAGUUCUCCCCCGUCUCGAGUCUCUACGCAUACGGGAUUGUGAAAGUCUGGUAGAGGUCUUCAACGUCCCCGCAUCUCUCAAGACGAUGGAUUUGCACGACUGCCCUAAGCUUAAGUCCAUAUUCGGAGAGCUACAGGACGAGCCAACAUUCAAUCAAGGGCCCAGCGCUGCACCGAAGCUGUCAUCAUCGGCCUGGGAUCACUUACUUCCAUGUCUUGAAUCUCUAAAUAUACGGCAGUGCGAAAGCUUGUCAGAGGUUCUCAACCUUCCCCCAUCCCUCAGGGAAAUAGAUAUUUGGGAAUGCCCAGAGUUGAGAUCAGUCGAAUGUUGCUUGGGAGAGUUUGCAACCCUGGAACGCCUCGUUCUUAGUGAAUGCAAAAGCCUGGCAUCCUUGCCCGAUGGGCCACAAGCAUACUCAUCUCUCCGUCAUCUUCAAAUUACAUCAUGUCCAGGUAUACAAUCGCUUCCUUCAUCCCUGAAGAAGAGACUGGACAACCUCAUUGAUAAAUAUUUGGAUGCUCGUUACGAAGGUACCCAUCAAACUCAUUUGUCGUUUCACCAUCAAAUGCAUAAAUCUGCUCAUGUGUAUUUUCCUCUUCAACCUGAGACCCCGCAUUCUAUAAAUAUAUAUAUACCAGUCGCCUUAAAGCAUCCAUGCAGUAGUUUGGAUGAUAUGGUGUGAUUAUUUUUACAUUAGAGAAAGGUAUUUGCGUCUAUAGACUAUAGCUAGGUGUGAACUGUGCCCAGAAAUUAUUGACAAGGAAUAGUGGAAAGAACUCAGCAAUCACUAAAAAAACAUGAAGAGUGUCCCACAAAGUUACUUUUUCAUGCAGUUGUCAUGGUGGCUUGCUGGUUUCAGCACUUGCACAAUACGAAAUUUAAAAAAUCCAAGUGAUCCCUCCACACUUGGACAAUUAAGAACACGACUAUAGAUUGUUUUCAAUUUGCAUUGAACUGAUAUUUUUCUAUUUCCCUAAUGUUACACAUCAAAUAGAGAUGCCAAGUUGCCAAUGCAACGAAGGUUUUUACUUGUCAAUUUAAUUGAAUUUUGCUGUCUAAAGGACAAAAUGUGGAUUAAAUAAAGAGCUCUUUUACGGUGCACAAUACUACCACGUGGUAGUAUAGAUUAUAAGUACUUUUUUAGCAUGGGCAAAAUUGUAAUUAGCACGCAUAUAUUAUUUGGAGAUUUUUUUCCGCGAGCCCUUCUCCCCACGCGCCGCCAGUCCCCCACGUCCGCGCCUGGGCGCACCCGCGCCCCCGGAACCCUCGGCGGCCGAUGCUGACACUGACGACUUCCUGCCGGCUGAGGCUGCGCGUGGCGGUGACGUGCUGUUUGAGCUUCACUCCCACUCAAACCACAGUGACGGCUUCCUCUCCCCCACCGCGCUCGUCGAGCGCGCCCACCGCAAUGGGGUAAGUGGAUGAAUCCUAAAUGGCCUCUAGUCCGUUUGCCUGCUAGGUGUUUGAGGAAAUGCUUGUGACGUUUGUUCGGCGGCGUUGUACUGUGCUUUGUGGAAUUCGACUUCGAUGGCCUCAUCGUCUUUAGCUGUGGUGCUUAACCGAGCAUUGCGUUUGUUGUACCUGCCAGUGUGCCGUGUGCGUAGCUGUUCCCCGUCUUAUAGGACUGUUCCCCGUCUUAGUAUCUGGAUGAAAGUGCUGUACUGGUGACUACAGUAUCUAACAGGGAAGCAGUUUCCUUGGAUGUUUCAACUCCCCUCUGAUGAUCGGUUUGUUUAAAUUUGAAUGAAGCUGUCAUCUUCUGGCACGCAUUGGUUAGUUCAGACGGUGUAUUGCUUAGCUAAUUGCUGCUGAAAAAAAUGAUUGAGAUGCACUAGUGCCUGUUUCCCCUUGAAAUGUUUUAUGGAUUAUAUACCAUAACCUACCUCCUAAAGUUUCGGUAUGGUUGUGUGCUGUUUAAAAGUUAUAUAUUGAUGGGCACAUAUUACAAAUCUUGGAGUGUCUAAACUAUAUAUGUUUGUGGCGUAGGUGAAAGUUCUUUCCCUAACAGAUCACGACACUAUGGCUGGCAUACCAGAAGCUGUUUCAGCAGCUUCCAAGUUCGGCAUUAGAAUAAUUCCUGGAGUUGAAAUCAGUGCGCUGUAUAAUCCAAGGUAAGUGCCCUUUAGCUUUUAGAGAAGAGAGCUUUCUGUGUUUUGAAUAAAAAUCAUCAAUUGCAUGCAGCUUAAUGAAUCAAGCAUCCUAUUGUUGCGGACUCUCAUAAAUAGAUCUGCAAUAUUGUUUUAAUGCUCCAUUGCCUGUCUAAUAAAAUGAUACUGUAAACAACAUUUAAGCAGUUGUAUUAUGACUAGGGAUAUUUCAUAUGAUGAUUCAUUAUAUUAUGAAUUUCAUUUUCUAUAAGGGAAGGUGCCGGUGCUGGUGAGCCUGUUCAUAUCCUUGCAUACUAUGGUACAUGCGGUCCAUCAAGAUAUGAUGAGUUGUACAGCAUGCUAUUGAACAUCAGAGAUGGGAGAUACUUACGUGCAAAGAAUAUGCUGGCAAAGCUAAAUAGACUCAAGGUGACGAUAAAGUGGGAGCAUAUAACUAAAAUUGCUGGUGAGGGAGUGGCAACUGGUCGAUUGCAUGUAGCAAGAUCUUUGUGUUAAUAAUAGGGCCUGUGUUUUUUGCAGAGGAAGUGAACCAUUUGCUGAGACUGUUGUGCAGUCAAUUAGUCGUACUGGGGGUAUAUCUGCACUCGCUCAUCCUUGGACCUUGGUCAUUGAAGAACCCUGAUGCAGUAAUCAGGUCUUUAGGUGCUGGCCUUAAUGGUAUGGAGGUCUACAGAAGUGAUGGAAAGGUUGAUGGUAUGUGUGCUACACACUUACACUUUAUGCACUAUGACUUGAAAUAGAACAGAGGACUCCGGUAGUCCUGUCAUGCGCUAAAAUCUUCCCAGAAGAGUGCGGUGUUCCCAUCGCCCAACUGUACCCGGAUGGAAAUUUGGAAGAUUUUACGAAGGGUAUGGUCGUUGUCCACCGUAUUGGCUAGGUGCUUCCAUGGUCGUUGUUCGUCAGUCCUCUUGAACCACAACCAGCGCAAUCGGAGGGCCAGCGAUGCAAUUUUGAGGUUCUGAAUUCCUAGACCACCAAAGAGUUUAGGGCGGCAUGCAAGUGGCCAGGCCACUGCACAUUGCCCUCCAUUGGCUGCCUGCUUACCUGCCCACAGAAAACCCUUUCUAAGUUUGUCGAUUUCAUGAAAUACCCAGGCCGGUAUAUCAAGGGAGAUUAGGUUGUAGGUGCAGGUCGCGGUCAGAACUGAUUGAACCACUGUUAGUCUCCCCGCCUUGUUCAUGAGUUGAGCUUUCCAACUCGGGAUUUUGCUGGCCACCUUGUCGAUCAAGGGUUGGAAGUGGGAUUUCCUCAGUCUUCGAACCGAUAGGGGCAUGCCAAGGUACUGUAUUGGGAACUCUACCACUUGGGCAGGGAAGAUGCUACUAAUUCUCGCGAUUUGCUGAUCAUUGCAAGCAAUUGGGGCGAUGGAGCACUUCUGUAAGUUGGUGUGCAACCCAGAUGCGUUACCAAAGAAGUCGAGAAUCCCCUUGAGGGCAAUCAAAUCCUGGGCCACCGGCUUAGCAAAAAUGAUCACGUCGUCAGCAUACAAAGAGCAUUGGUGACAUAUGGCACUAUCAGCCGGGUGGGAGAGGACUCCCAGUUCCGUAGCCCUCUGAGAAGCCGGUGCAUCACUUCCAUAAUGAGGAUAAAAAGCAUUGGCGAUAGUGGAUCGCCCUGCCGCAGCCCUCUUGCGUUGCGUAUUGACCGACCUGGGGAGCCAUUUAGCAGCACUCUGGUGGUGGCAGUGGAAAUGAGCACGGAGAUCCAAUCCCUCCACUUAAUCCCAAAGCCUCUCGCUUGUAGAACUUGCAGUAGAAAAGGCCAACAGACGGUGUCAAAGGUCUUUGAGAUGUCAAGCUUGAUUAGGAGGCUGGGCUUGUGUUUCCGGUGUAGGGUUUUCGCAGCUAGCUCCACAAACUUAAAAUUAUCAUGGAUUGACCGUCGCUUCACGAACGUGCUCUGGUUAAUGUCCACAAGGUUGUGCAGCUCCUGAACAAGCCAGUUGGCAAGCAGCUUUGCAACUAGCUUCGCGAAGCUGUGCACAAGGCUGAUGGGUCUGAAAUCAGUCGGGGACACAGCGUCUUGCCGUUUCGGUAGCAGAGUGAUUAGGGAGCAAUUCAGGCGGCCAAAUUGGCGCAUGCACCGUGGUAGAGCGCGUCAAAACAUGCAAGAACAUCUCUUUUGAUCACCGGCCAGGUUGCUUUGUAGAAUUGCUCAACUUGUAGAUGAGGUCCUGCAAGUACCCUGUGGUUUGUAGUCAAACUACAGCAUUACUGCUAUUGCAAAGAUUAGGAGAUUUUAUCUCUCUUUUUCUAGGAAUUUUUUUUAAAUAAACUGCAUGAGAAGAAGUGCAAGUAAAUUCACGGAAAAUGUAAAUUCACUGACUGACCGACCAGUCUCGGUGCCUGAGGCGCUGAUGAUCCCUUGCUUCUCCAGGCGCUUCUUCCUGUCCUCCUUGAUGCGCUCCAGCAGCUCGAUGUCGUCGUCCUCCUCGAGCACAAGGGCCCGCGCGGGGCGGUCGGCAGCGAACGGGGAGAACGACGCCGCCAGGGCGGCGAGCACGCAUGACGCCAGGCCGCUCUGUCGGCCGACGACGGCGGCGGCCUCACGCCGGUCCUGGCCUCCGUUGCUGCUGACGCCUCUGAACUUGGCCCAGCAUGCUGCCGCUGGGGGAUGGUGCUGCGCUGGCAGCUCCUGCACCGCAGCCGCCGCCGCCCGUUGCAACCCUAGCGACUGAUUGUAAAUGAAGAACCAUAGCGACCAAUUGGAAAUGAGAAGAUGAAUAAAAGGAAAGGAGAUGAUAAUGAAGAAAGAUUUGAUAUAUUGUAACAAUGCUAAUUUUCAUCUUUCCAAUCAUACCCAUAUACUACCCAUACUACUCAUGCAUAUUAUUACCUAUACUUCAACUUAAAAUUCUAGUAGUAUACAAUUAAUUUGAACUGUCGGAUCCUUACAUACGAGUCCUUUUCAACAAUAGUAUAGGGUAGUAUUAUACACCACAAAAGAGCUCUAAAUAAAAGGUCCCAGGAGCCUACUGUGUGGUACCUUUCUUUUAAUGGUUUUUUUGCUAACUUCACGCCUUUGGAUGCACAAAAAUGUACUAUUUCUGUUUUUGUUUCAGAAAGAACUGGAGUUUUUCUCUUUCCAAUUCGGUAGUUGUAUAUUUUAAUAUGCAUACUCAAAUCUGCUUGACGUACACGUUUUUCAUGUUAUACUCUAGAUUUCUAUUGAUAAAUCCUAACAUCAGCGAUUACCAAGUGCCAAGUUAUUGAAACCAAAGACAUGGAAAUAUGCCAUUCAUUUGUAGAAAUCAGUGAGCUGUCAAAACAUUAAGUAAGGUUAGUAGCAUAAAAAGUUUGGGUUUUUAUUAGAAUCAUUUCAAUUAAUCUAGUAUUGAUUCCAUAUCCUGUCUAUUGUAGGGACAUGUUUGCUUCAUUUACUGUCAGCAUCCAAACCAUAAUAUGGAAAUGCUAUUUUCCUUCUAUGUUGACCAAGGUCUGAGUUACCAUACAGGCUCUGAUGCAAGUUGUUAAAGGCAGUAUAAAUUCUGUACCAGACAUUUAUUUAUAUUUGAUAAUCAUGAGAGAUAUAUUACUAUUUUAUUUUUGCAUCAAAUGGAUGUGGAGGCUGGGAUAUUAAUACUUUCUCCCAUUAAUACAGCUACAUCAUGGCAGUUAUCUCCCUGUGAUUGGAAGAGAGUUCUGCAUUUUGCAUAUCAACUGCAACUAUAUGAUGUUUAUAACUGAGCCUGGAGAGAUAUUAUGCCAUUUCUGUGACCAUUCUCUUCUAUUAUGUCCAUUUCACAUAUUCAAAACAAAAUUUUCCCUUAAUUGACUAUUGUAUUGAAUUGAUAUUUUCCUUUUUUUAGAUAAUACUGAUAUUUUUAACUUGCUUUACUUUCCCUUAACAUGAUUGGAAGUUUAAGACCAUGCCUAAAUUUCAAAUGUGCCUUCCUUUUAGUGCAUUACUUCUUUGGUGACCAAUUAAUGUUUUGACUAGCUGCUACUGAUCAAUUAUUCAUACCUGCCAAAGGACCAAUAACUUCGUGGUGCAGCCAAUUAAAUUGUUACUGAUUUCAUGCUAUCAACAUGGAAAAAGAUACAGUUUGACACCCAGCCACAAUCAAACAAUAACUUAGUAGUUUGAAAUGGUUAUCGCAAUUUGCGAUGCUUUGUGCAGAGAAGAUGACUCUUUGAGGUUAAAGAAGAUUCUACAAAUACCCAGCAAGCUUCAGGAAUGAAUUAUUUCAAGCUGGUGGCAUAAUAGUGCACACGGCGGAUGCAGCAACAGAGGACAACUCUGCUCCCCGGCCCCAGGCGCGCCGCCGAAAUGCCUCGGCACCGCCGCCUCCGACACGGCAAGGGCAGCGGGCGCCACAAGCUGAUGAACCUGCACAGGCAAAAGCCAGAACUGAGGCGUUUGGCUUUGCCGAGAUGGCCACACCCAUGUCUGAACGGGCAAAGGCCCGCCCUCCGGCGGAGCCCGUAGAGCAGGGCGGCCCCGACGACCAAGACGGCCAGACCGCAGGAGGGAGGGCUCGCGGCGUGUUCUCGCCGCAGGACAUCCAGGCGGACGGAGGAGGAUCUUGCGAUGUGUCGGCGACGGGCGCUGAGGAGCAGGCGGGGUCUCAUGGCGCUGUGGGCAACGGGAGGCCGAGGAAGCUGGAAGGAGGGGACAGGGAGAAUGAUGCUGAAGCUGGUGUGGUGCGAGCUGACGAACAAGCGCGGAUUCUGGACCAUGUCUUCUCCAAAGGACGUCAACACCAGGUACAACAGCAACCUCACCUUUGUUCUUCCUCUUCCUGUAAAGGGUCGUGCACACAAGGUGUUCGGUCUUUUGUCGUUGCAAGUUUUGCAAAGGAAAAAGGGGACAGGGGCAUAUCUACUAAUCAAAGUAGACGGCGUUUAACGCUAGCACCACGAUUAGCACCCGCAGAGCAACUUUGCAGCACGAAGAAGGUACAGUCAGUAUUGACCAGGGAAAAUUUUGAAGAUUCAGAAGUUCUAAGGGAAAGAGGAGGAAUGGAAAAGGAGGAACAGAGUGAGAGAGAGAAGAAGCAAUUCAAAAAAUCGCAGGAUCCUUUGCAAGGUCUCCGAAGGAACGAGACUGGCUCUCGAUUCUGGGCCUUAGCAAAUGAGGACAGUUCUGACGAGGAGGAGGAAAGGGAGGAAGAAAGUGAUAAGAUGAAAAUGGAAAGUAUAGUGGCUGAGGAGAGAAGCUGUUCUUCCCUAGAGGAAAGAACAGAACUCUCUAGCAGUGGAUCUAGAGAAAAGGGAAUAAAAUUAGUUAAGAAGCAGGAAAGCAAAGAUAGAACAAAGGGCAAAGACAAAAAACCUGGACAUAUGAUCAAACCAUGGAAAGGCCCUUUACCUCAGAGAAAUUACCCUUUGAAAAUGUCACUAGGUGACAUCAGGGUAAAAGAUCUGCGUGAGGUGGCCCAUCCAUUGGAUAAGAGAAGUCUAGAUAUUUUUUUGGAGGAAGAAUCAAAAGUUAUGUAUGAGGAUAACUACAUAGGGGAGGCUGAUUCAGUGAAGUUAAGGAUGAACACAUUGGAGAAGAAGUGCUCAUCAAAGAAGACGAAGUUUGAAUUCAAAUUUCAAAAAGUUCCAAAGAUUAACUCAGGGAAAUCAAUAACCUGGGUGGGUAAAACUGGUUUCAUUCAUGUGGGACCACGUGCAGUUUUCCAAUAUACAAAUGGUUUAAGUCAGCUUCUUAAUAAUGGAGGGAAGCUCAAAAGGCAAGACAUUAAAUGUCUGCCCAAGAAUCAAGGUGGUGUUUGGGCUGCCUGGGGUAAAGGGGCGCCAGCCUCUGUGAUUAAUAGCAACUCAUCUGUGCAACAAGCACCCUUUGACAUUCUAACCACAGCUGUCGAGUGUCACAGAGAGAGAACAGAUUGUCAGGAGGAAGAGGAAGAAGGAAGAAUGUUGAGGAGAGGGUUUGGCACAAGAGGAAUAUCUGGAGCUAGGGGAGCACAUGACGGUCGGUUUAACCAGGACCGACUAGAAAUGGGAGCACAAAGAGAAGAUUCAGGAGGCGUCUGGCACUUUGGAGGAAAUCAGAGAAGACAGAUGGAAGCCAGAGCAGGUGGCAGGGAAGGGGCAGGAGAUGGGUAUGGAAGAAGAUUUAUAUCAAGAGAUGGGUCAGGCAAUGAGAGGAAUAGGGAAGGGCAACAACAAGGUUUUGGGAGCUAGAGAGGUCUACAGGGGCCAGGAGGAUCAAGGGUGGAUGUGAGGGUGGAGUCCCUGAGAGGCAGAGGGGGAUGGCGUAGGUGGCAGGAGCGUACACAAAGAGCAGAAGUGGUGAAGGAAGAGGAUAAAGGAAAGAAGGUGAUAACACGUGAUGGUGAACAGAAAGAAGGAUCGAGGGGGAAAGCUGGGAUGGAUUUCCAGAUGACAGUAGAUGGACUUGGAGAAGAAGAGAAAGGAGAUGACACCAAGUCAGGGAUCAAGUGCUCAAAAUGUGCAAAGAAAGGACAUGUGGCUGCCACGUGCACUAAUCCAGUUUACUGUGUUAUCUGUAACGGUGAUGACCACGUCAAUCACAAAUGUUUGCUGCUAAAGCAGUCUAGGCCAGUGGCACACGCGGUGGGAUACGCUGUCUAUGGGCUUGGUUUCUACCACAUUCCACAUCCACCGCUGUCUAGGAGUAAAAAAGAAUCCAAGAAGGCCCUAAUUAGGGUGGGAGGAGGGAAACUAACCAAGGAGAAGGUGGUUUCACAACUGCAAAGGUUGUACCCAGGAAAGUGGAAUUGGGAACUGGAAGACAAUGAAGAUAACACCUUCAUCACUACAUUUCCCUCAAAAUCUGAACUUCAAAGGGCAAUAGCUUUUGGAGGGGCUAAUGUUAGAGAAGAUGGAGUUCAGAUAGGUGUGAGGUUACAAUUUGAAACUUGGCAAGAGAAAGAAGAGGGAUUCCUUUUACCUAAAGUUUGGGUAAGAGUACAUGGGCUGAGAAAAUCUCUAAGGGAGUAUAUGAAUUUGUGGGCAAUAGGUUCAUUGUUGGGAUCUACCCAAACUGUGGAUAUGGAGAUGACUAGAAAAAAUGAAUUUGGAAGAAUAUGUGUGGCAGCCCUUAACCCCUUGCUUAUCCCCUCACAUUUAGAUGUGGUGAUAGGGGAUCACUACUUUGAACUAGAAUUUGAGGUGGAAAGGAAAGGGACUGAUGAGAAUGGAGAGGAAGCAAAUUUUGAUUGGAAGGGAGAUGCAGAAGGAGAGGAUGAGGGAGAGGGCAGUGAGGAUGGCUUAUUGCAGGAUGACCCAGAUAUGAUCAGGGAAAUAAAAAGAAGGAAAAAUGAUAGUGAGGUCAAGGAGAAGGAAGAUAGCAGUACAAAAUAUAGGCAGGAGGAGCAGGGAUGGACAGAUAAAGAAUCAUGGAAAGAUAAAGUUCAGAAGAUGAGUGAAAUGGAGUUUAAUCUGUUUCUUAAGGAAAAGGCAGAAGAAAUAAUGGAUAGAGCAGUGGACAAAACUUUGGAGGUUUUGAUAGAUCAGGUUAUGACUGACCAGAAUGAAAAUAAUGAGGGGGAGAGCAGCUGGGAGGAGGAAGAGGGAACAGAUGAACUGAAGAAGAGGGCUGCAAUUCCUGAGACAGUAAUGACGCCAACAAGGGUUAGUCCAAGGUUGGCUAACUCAGGAGAUGAGCAUAUUCUUGCUAAGACAGAGAAGAUGGCUGCUAGGAAAAAUCUGGAGCUCAAAGAAGGUAAUUAUGAAACUGAAGUCUCCUUUCAUUUUCCUUUAGAUAAUGUUAUCUGUAAUGUUAGUCAACUAGGGGUUAGGUUGGGAGAGAGUGAAAAAGAGAAGGAAAGGGUAGUACAAGAAAUUCUCACAGUACAAAAGAGAGACAUAGAUCUGCCUGUAGAGGUAGAUAAUCAAGAUGAGAGUAAUCUGUACAGUGACAUGGAGGAGGAGAGGGAAGAAAUAGAAAGUAGUCAAAUUCAGAACCUUUGUGGGGAACUUUUGGAAGAGGUUUUUGACGAUGAUUUUAGUUACAUGGAUUUUUACUCUAAGAUGGGUAAUCACAAGUCUUGUGCUAAGUCACGAAAGAGAAAGACUUGUAAGGUCAGGCUACCCAAAGUCAAUAUCGAUAUGGUUUCCAAAUGAGAGGAAUCUUCUGGAACAGCAGAGGUCUUAGUGACUUGGCUAAAAAAAGAUUCCUUUUAGAAACAUCUAAAGAACAGAACUUAGCUUUCAUUGCUCUACUAGAAACAGGAAAAAGAGACUUUACCUAAGCCACUCUAAGUAAUUUGUGUGGGGGAAAAACUUUAUCUGGCAUUGGACUGAACCACAUGGAAGAUCAGGGGGUAUCCUCCUAGGUGUGGAUCUAGAUGAGUUAGACAUUGGUAGUAUUGAUGAAGGAGACUUUUAUGUGAAGUUCAAAGUAAGGACAAGAAAAGAUAAUUUCCAGUUUGUGUUGGUGGCUGUUUAUGGAGCAGCACAACCAGCUUUUAAAGAAGCUUUCUUGACCGAAAUGGUGCAGGCCUAUAGAAAAGAGAACCUUCCUAUUGUCCUUGGGGGAGAUUUUAACAUCAUAAGAAACCCAAGUGAAAAGAACAAUGAAAGGUACGAAGACAAAUGGCCCUUUCUUUUUAACGCUAUCAUAGAUAGCUUAAAUUCAAAGGAGAUACAUAUGUCAGGAAGAAAGUACACUUGGGCUAGUUCCUUAAAAAAUCCAACAUAUGAGAAAUUGGAUAGGGUGUUGGUUAGUACAGAGUGGGAAGAGAAAUUUCCUUUAGCUACGGUUGAUGCAUUGAGCAGGGAAAUCUCAGAUCAUACACCCUUAUUGCUUAGUACUGGACAGGAAGGGGUGAGAAGGAACCAACACAUGUUUAAGUUUGAACUGAGCUGGCUUUUGAGGAAAGAUUUCCUUGAGAUAGUAGCUGAUGUGUGGAGUAAGGAAAGAAAAGGUUCCAAUCCUAUACAGAAAUGGCAAAAUAAGAUUAGGAGGUUAAGGCAAUUUCUGAGAGGAUGGGCUAAAAACCUAAACGGGAAGUAUAAAAAAGAAAAACAGGAGCUACUUAAAAGGGCAAAUGAGCUAGAUAAAAAGGCUGAAUCACAGCUGCUAAGUCAGCAAGAAAGUGAUUUAAAGAAUUGCAUUCAAGAUACACUAGUUCAGCUCCUGAGAGAAGAAGAAAUAAGAUGGUAUCAAAGGGCAAAAAGCAAUAAGCUACUGAAUGGAGAUAACAACACAAAAUAUUUUCAUAUGGUAGCCAAUGGCAAACACAGGAAAACAAGAAUCUUUAGACUGGAACAGGAUGAGGGCAUUAUAGAAGGGGAUGAUAAUCUUAAAAAUUACAUAACUAAAUAUUAUAAAGAACUAUUUGGAUCUCAAUCAAGGAACAUUUGUUCUAUGAACGAAUCCUUGACAGAGGAUAUCCCUCAAGUAUCAAGAGAAGAAAAUGAAAUCUUGACUGAAAAAUUCACAGAAAAGGAGGUCAGAGAAGCUAUCUUUCAAAUGAAGCAUAACAAAGCUCCGGAAUCCGAUGGAUUCCCAGUGGAGUUUUACCAAGUAUUCUGGAGUCUCAUUAAAGAUGAUCUAAUGGCCAUGUUUGAAGACUUCCACAAAGGUAAUCUACCACUAUAUUGUUUAAACUUUGGGAUAAUAACUCUAAUCCCAAAACUCCAGGAAGUGAAAAUGAUCCAACAGUAUAGACCAAUAUGUAUGUUAAAUGUCAGUUUCAAAAUCUUCACAAAAGUGAUGGCCAAUAGGUUUUCUCUGGUGGCUGAAAAAGUCAUCAGGCCAUCACAGACUGCUUUUAUGCCUGGGAGGUACAUAAUGGAAGGGGUAGUAGUACUUCAUGAAACUAUACAUAAGUUAAGCAGGAAAAAGCAAGAUGGAAUCAUUCUCAAAUUGGACUUUGAGAAAGCCUAUGAUAAGGUUAAUUGGUCUUUUCUUCAACAGGCAUUAAGAAUGAAAGGCUUCUCCUCAAAAUGGUGUGAGUGGAUAGAAAGUAUAGUCAGUAAGGGAAGUGUGGGGGUAAAGGUAAAUGAUGAUAUUGGACAUUUCUUCCAGACAAAAAAAGGUCUUAGACAGGGUGAUCCCUUAUCGCCAAUGCUAUUUAAUAUAGCAGCAGACAUGUUGGCUGUUCUUAUUGCUAGAGCAAAACAUAGCAACCAAAUAAAGGGCCUAGUGCCACAUCUCGUAGAUGAAGGAUUAUCUAUCCUCCAGUACGCAGAUGACACAAUAAUCUUCAUGGAAAAUGAUUUAGAGCAGGCAAGAAACUUGAAAUUGGUGCUAAGUACCUUUGAAAAACUUUCAGGCCUCAAAAUCAAUUUCCAUAAGAGUGAAUUGUAUUGUUUUGGGGAGGCAAAAAACCAAGUUAAGGUUUAUGUAGAGAUAUUUGGGUGCAAGGAAGGAACACUACCAUUUAGAUAUCUUGGAAUUCCAAUGAUGCAUCGCAGAAUUGCAAAAAAGGAUUGGAAAAUGACUGAAGAAAGGUUCCAGAAAAAAUUAGCAAGCUGGAAGGGCAAAUUAAUGUCAGUGGGAGGCAGGUUAGUACUGAUAAAUUCUGUCCUCUCAAGUUUACCAAUAUUUAUGAUGUCCUUUUUUAGAAUACCUAAAGGUGUUCUUAAAAGAUUGGAUUAUUAUAGAUCUAGAUUCUUCUGGCAAAGUGAUGAACACAAAAAGAAAUUUAGGUUGACCAAAUGGAGUAUCCUUUGUGCACCUAAGAAUGUAGGAGGUUUGGGUAUCUCCAAUGUGGAGGUUCUAAAUAGGUGCUUGCUAAGCAAGUGGUUUUUUAAACUUCUAAAUGAGGAGGGAGUAUGGCAAACUUUGCUUAGAAAGAAAUAUUUGGUGAACAAGACUCUAACUCAAGUGACAAGGAAAAGGGGAGAUUCACACUUCUGGGCGGGCCUCAUGGAAAUAAAGGAUCAGUUCCUAUCAAUGGGAACAUUUGAGGUGCACAAUGGAGAAAAAACUAGGUUCUGGGAAGACGUUUGGAUGGGAAAGACAACUUUGAGGGAAAGAUAUGCAUCCCUGUAUAAUAUAGUGAGAAGGAAAGAUGACACCGUAGCCAAAGUACGUGGAUCUGCCCCUCUAAAUGUUUCUUUCAGAAGAGCAUUAACAGGGCACAGAUUGGAAGAAUGGCUAAAAUUAGUGGCUGAUAUUAUAAGUCAUGCUACAGACAGGCAGGAAGACAGAUUUAUUUGGAAUAUGAAUAAAAACAAAGUUUUCUCAGUGAAGUCAAUGUACAGAGAAAUAAUGCAAGCUGAAAGAACACCAUCCAUGUGUGUUGCUUGGAAGUUAAAACUUCCAUUAAAAAUAAAGAUCUUUUUAUGGUAUUUAAAGAAAGGGGUGAUUUUAACAAAGGACAACCUCACUAAAAGGAGAUGGCAGGGAAGUACCAAUUGUUGCUUCUGCAGAUCAAAAGAGACAGUGCAACAUCUCUUCUUUGAUUGUAAUCUUGCCAGAUUCAUAUGGAGUACGGUUUUCUUUUCGUUUGGAAUUCAACCACCGACGAGUGUUCCUUAUGCUGGGAUCUUGGGCUAGAGGGUUUCCUCGGAAGAUUAGAAACCAGAUGAUUAUAGGAGCUGGUGCUCUUUGUUGGGCCAUGUGGUUGAACAGAAACGAUGUACUGUUCAAAGGCACGAUCACUAAUUCCUUCUUGCAGGUAAUCUUCAGAGGGACCUAUUGGACAAGAACAUGGGCGGUGCUAUCAAUGGAGGAAGAGAAAAAUGAAAUGAAGAACAACUGUAGCAGGCUCGAAGGCACUGCCUUGGAAUUCUUCUCCAAUAAGUAUGGCUGGAACUUCAGACGAAGAAUACUUCAGUAACAGGAUUUCAUCUAGGCACCGGAGAAGAUCUUAGAGUCCUAUCUAGUGCUUAGGAGUCGUGUUAGUGUUCCUGUCUUUGGAGUGAACUGUGAGUCUUCAAGGGUAGUACUGCUAGAACAGCCUAAGUGUUGAGUUUCUGUAUUUGUGGUGUUAGUUUGGCUGCAGGCAUCCACUCGUGGAUGACCGAGGCCGGAUUCUUUCCUUUAUCUAAAAAAAAAAGAACUGAGGCGUUCAUUGCGUCGGUCCGACUGGCACUACAAGCUCCCCUUGCUGCGGGGCCCCCUAAGCCCACCGCUCCUCCUCCGGCACAGACGCCAAGACGGAGUACAAGGCUGGCAACUAACGCGCUAAACUCUGCGAUCCGUCCAUCCAAGAAGGGGGAACUUCUGACCAUGAAAAAACUCGGCAUCUUAACCCAAGAGCACCAAACUACCUCAGCAGCUGACAAAGAUUUCAACAAAUUCUUGACCACGACAAUGAAGCCGUGCCAUUUUGCGGCAUUCAGGGACAUCUUCCCGGCGGCCAAUAACCUCUCGAUUGGGAAAUGAAGUUCCCUUUUGCCUUCCUUCAGACGCUCUCCUCUGAUAUUUCAGACCAUUGCCCCCUACUGCUAACCACCAACUCAAACUUUUCGGUCAAAAGACGCUUCCAUUUUUAGAUUUGGUGGCUCAAGUUGCCUGGCUACUUGGAAACUGUCGCACAGGGUUGGGUGUGCCCAUCGCACAUCUCUGAUCCUUUCACAAAACUUGACAUGAAGCUUAAAAACACUGCUAGAAAGCUUCAGAGCUGGAGGGGAAUGCAAACACAAGACUUUUCCAUUUGCAAUGUGGCCACAGGGCCAAAAAGAAAUUUAUUGCAAGGCUUGAGCAUGAGGGAGGUGUGGCAAUCUCACAUGAGGAAAAAGAGCAGGUUUUGUUCAGCCACUUGUCUGCUAUUUUGGGCACUGCUAUGCAAAGAGUUGAGAUAGUGAAUUUAUCUGUGUUGGGUUUCACGGCGAGAAACUAAAGCCACCUGGAGGUUCCUUUCAUCGAAGAGGAAAUUUGGAAUGCAAUCUGGAAUCUUCCAAAUGAAAAAGUGCCCGGCCCAGAUGGCUUCAUCGCUGAGUUCUAUAAGACAGCCUGGUCAAUCAUCAAAACUGAUGUGCUGGCGGCCUUUGAUGCAUUCUAUAGGAACAUAGUGGCACAACUGCAUAAACUCAAUGGAGCCUUGAUCACCUUAUUGCCCAAGAGGCAGGAUGCCAAAAUACGAGGAGAUUAUAGACCAAUCAGUCUCAUCCACAGUUUCGGGAAGCUCCUGGCAAAGCUGUUAUCAAACAGAUUAGCACCUGAACUCAGCGCUUUGAUAGAUGUCAACCAGAGUGCUUUCAUUAAGCAGAGAUCUAUCCAUGACAAUUUUAAAUUCGUUGAAUAGGCUGCUAGAACCUUACAUAGGAAAAAGAAGCCUACACUACUGAUCAAACUUGAUAUCUCCAAAGCCUUUGACAGUGUCUGCUGGCCUUUCCUGUUGCAGCUGUUGCAAGCCAUGGGGUUUGGUUUAAAGUGGAGAAAUUGGAUGGCAACCCUGGUUUCCUCAGGUACAACAAGAAUAUUGCUCAAUGGUUCUCCAGGGCCGGUGAUUCAUAAUGCAAGAGGCUUAAGACAAGGGGAUCCCUUGUCCCCAAUGCUCUUCAUUCUCACAAUUGAGGUGCUCCACAGGCUCCUGAGGAAAGCAGUGCAGAAUGGUGUCCUCAAACCUCCGACUGAUUCUGCAAUACAUCAUCAGUGCUCCAUUUAUGCGGAUGAUGUAGUGUUGUUUGCUGCCCCUGAGGUUCAGGACAUCACAACCAUAAGAGAAACUCUUAAUUUCUUCGGCAGCACAUCAGGUUUACACACCAACCUGCACAAGAGCUUAAUAGCUCCCAUAGCUUGCAAUGCUGAGCAAGUUCAGAACAUCCAGGGCAUCUUGCCAGCUCAGAUCGCUGUGUUCCCCAUCCAAUACUUAGGAUUGCCCCUAUCAGUUACCAGGCUCAAGAAGUCGCACUUUCAGUCCUUAAUUGACAAAGUUGCAGCAAGUAUUCCGACAUGGAAGGCUCCGUUGAUGAACAAAGCAGGCAGGCUCACCACUGUAAAAGCAGUUAUGAGUGGAACUGUUGGAAUAAAGUGGCUAAAAAACAUUCCAGAUUUUAUUUGGAGGAAAAACACAUAGAUGAAAAUUAACGCAAGCAUACAACACAUGUAAACAGUCAGCAUAUUGACUAGAACAAGGUGUUGCAGGGACAUUACUCAAUAAUUCCGCAUAGAACGUAGUCGAACGUGUUGUAGGUGUUGCAGAGUCACCAAGCGGUCGCGUGUAGAUGCUGCCCAAAAACCUAAUUGUCGCCCCGUGCAGGAGUCUCGCGGCAGUGGUUUCGGAGAUCCCGUGCAGGACGUCUCCUGGUGUUAUAGACUCAAUACAACAUAAGUUUCCCCCAUCAAACAGCCUCAUAAAUUAGUAGUCACAAGUCACAAGUCACGCGAUUUUUCACGCAAAAAUGUGCGUGCGUGUAGCAACAGGCUCCUCUCUCUCUCACUUGCACCUUUUUUGCAUAAAGAGAAGACCCCCAUAUUUAAGCAAAGUAACCUCUCCUUGAAUUAACAAUAUGGGACUAAAGGUUGUGCAUGCUUUGGAAUUUUCAGAUUAGGCCAUGUAUGGGCCAAAAUCCAACAGGAACAUCAAAGGAGAGUAUUCAGCGAAAUCGGCAUAUCGUUUCUUCUUCAGAACUGCCGUCAGAUGCAGUCAGAUUCGCUGCAGCUAAGCUGAUUUGGAAAGUAUGGGUUCCUCUCAAAAUUAAGUUCUUCAUGUGGUUGGCUAUCAAGAACAGGUUGUGGACGGCAGCGAGGAGGCAAAAACGUGGACUGCAAGACCAGGCUGAUUGUGUGCUUUGUGAUCAAGAGUUAGAGACGGCAAAUCACCUGCUAUCCAGAUGCUCCUACACUCUCCAGGUGUGGCAACAUAUCAGCGCUUCAAUGAACUUGCUGAAUAUUGCUCCAACACAAAAUCAGUCCCUCCUUGACUGGUGGCUGCAAAAAAGGGAAGGAUUCAAUGCCUGCAACCGAGCGUUCGGCCGCUCGCAGGCAGAGUGUGGAGCGCCUAGUCUAGGAGAUCACAACUGAAGGGGACCUCUAGUGCGCGGCAGGCGCCAAACACCUGGCAGCACUUGGCUGGCCAGGGACAGCAGGGUUGCCUAUCUCAUAGAGGAUCUACUCUUCUCUAUCCAUUCGUUGUAAGAGUUUCAUGUAAUAGCUGUUAAUGUAAGCUUAAACCGUAUGCGUGCACCCGGCAGGCCAUGUUGUAUGUCUUUUUUCUGCUUAAUACAAAGAUUCGCAGCUCUCCUGCGUGUUCACGAAAAAAAUGAAUACAUACUUGUAUGAGCAUUGCAUUGUAAAAUGUACCAAAGUGCAGUCACUGCCUUCUUCUCACAAACAAACAAUACUCGAUAAACACAUAAAGUCAUUCGCUCAUGAUGCUGUUCAACAAAAAACAAAGCUUUGAACACAUUCAUACAAGGUAAAGUCGAACAAACCAAACCACUUAGAAAACAUGAUAAAAUCCAGAAUUGGACCGAACUAAUUGCUGACAUGACUUGAUAGUAGAUGACAUAAAUAUGGAUGAGGAUGUGUUGACACUUUUUUGAGCCAACACACGAACGCACACGAUCGUGCGGUGCACGGAGGGGCUCGCGGCAGCACCUCGACGCAGGCCGGUCUAACCGGUUAUAGGGAUUGGUCUGACCGGUUGUUGGGUAGGUCGACGGUAGACCUUCGAACGUUCACCCGGGAAGGAUCCCGUCGGGGGCAGGCGCAUACAGGGUUGCUCUAGGAUCGGCAGGCCACCUAGAGCGCCUUCAAACCUCGUCGAGACGAAGGAAGAACAGCAAGUGGUAGAUUGGAAAAGCUAGGGCAAAAGAAUAAAGGAAAAAAAAUGAUAAAUAAUAGAUUGGUUUAUGUCGACUAGGUUGGAUGUCCUCAACCGGUCGAAUCCCUUUAUAUUUAUAGGGAGGGAAGGUCUUCCCCACGUAGAAGUCGAAAUCCUAAUACAAAUCGUGCCAAAUUACAACUCCUACUCGGAUUACAUAGAGCCAGACUGGUCAGACCGGCCUGGGCAACCGGUCUGACUGGUCUGCUCGGGUGCAGAUUUUGCCAAGAUCGUAUCUCCCUCAUCCGAACUCCAAAUCGGACGUUUUAUAUAUGAAUCUUGAUCUACUCGACAAGAUCUACACAAUGGUAGAGUCCAAUCUUCAUUUGGAGUACUUUGAUCCAACCAGUCUGACUGAUGGGUCAACCGGUCUGACUUGUCUGCACAGGGUGCUGAUUUUUUCGAGGGCAUAACUCUCUCAUCCGAAGUCCAAAUCGGACGUUCCAUAUAUGCAUUUUGAUCGUCUCGAUGACAGCUACACCAUGGUGAAGUAAAAUUUGCAUUUUGAGAACAUUCACCAAACCGGUCUGACCGGUUGGAAGACCGGUCUGAACAGGCCUGACCAGAUUUUCCAAGUCCUACCACUUUUGGGCUCCAACAGGAUGUGUCUACAGUAAUUUAAUAAUACUAACAACUAGAAUCAAAGGAUACAUAUCAACUGCAAAAUCAUAAGCAAGGCACACUCUAUGUUUCCAUUUGGGCUUAUUCUAUAGCAAAUCUAUGUAAACUACUUAAGUAUUCACAGCAGGCUGAGUAGCAGGGUCCAGCUUUCUCUGCUCCUAAAUUUUCCUGAGCUUAAUACCCUUACCCUUGGGGAGACUCACCCAUGGUUUGUUCCCCUUGCCAAUUGUGAGCACAUUGCCCAAAUAGGUGGCAAAGGCAUGUGUUAGAAUGUGUGUAAUUGGGCCCAGCCCGGCUAGGCCCAUGCGCAUGGCUCCCCCUGACAGGCGCUUGUUGCGCCAGAUCAGGAGCCAGCCACCAGGGCUUUCUUGUCCCUUGCCUAUAUAUGUGUACGCUAUGCACCUCCAUAAUCAAUCUACAAUUUCCUAGCCAUAUUUGCUUUCAUGGUAUCACGAGUCCGGGUUCCUACCCCGAUUUAGCUUCCGCUUUUCUAGCACAUGCCGUCACUAUGGCUGGCUCCACGUACCCUGUCGCUGAUCCAGUCGCUACAUCGCCCACGGCAGAGGAGCAACACCUCGCCGAGGAGGCCUAGCGGCAGGCUGCCCGCACUGCCACCCUCGCCCACGCUGUCCAGGCUGGGCAGCUGGCGGCUACCGCGGCUCAGGAACGCGACGCCGCUGAUGCCCACCUCCGCGACGCCCUGGCCCUUGCUGUCGAGGAGCGCGCUGCCGCUAAGGCCGCUGAUCCACCACCCAGCAUUCACCCUGACAACGAUGACGAUGACCACAAGAAUCAUGUCGUCCCCUUUGUCCACGACGCCAUGCUGCUCCACGAGGUCGCCGCCGUCCUGAACCUGCACGCCCAGCCUGUUGCACUUUAGAACAUCUGCAGCCUCAUCCCGAUCAUCCUCGACGUCGCCUCCACCAACUACGCCCGCUGGCGCGAGCAAUUUCUGCUCACCGUCGAGAAGUUCUCCCUCGACGCCCACGUGCUUCAGGACAGUCCUCUCCCCGGUCACCCUGACUAGGCGCGGAUGGAUUGCGUCGUUCGGUCUUGGAUCUACGGCACCCUCUCCAACGACCUCACCGACACCGUGAUGACGCCUGGCGCCACUACCCGCUCCGUCUAGCUUGCCGUCGAGUCUCAGUUCCUCGGCAACCACGACACACGCGCCCUCCUCCUUGAUGCCCAGUUUUGCACCUUCGUCUAGGGUGAUCUAUCCAUCACUGACUACUGCCGCCGUCUGAAGGCCAUGGCUGAUGCCGGCGAGCUCGGUGAGCCUGUCACUUACCGAUCCCUCAUCCUCAACGUCAUCCGCGGCCUCAACUCCAAGUACGCCACCAUCGGUCUUCACCUUCGUCGUGCUCGCCCGUUCUCAAUGUUCCUGGAGGCUCGGAAUGAUCUGCUGCUCGAGGAACUCACCUUCACGUAGCCGUCCUCGGAGCCCUCCACCGCUCUUCUCGCUGCUACCCCGAGCGCCUCCACAUCAGCCCGGCCGCCCCAGGCCUCGCAGUAGCCCCAUUCUGGGGGUGGCUCCUCCAAGACUCGUCACAACAAACGUAACUCCGGUAGCUGCAACUCCAAGGGUGGCAACUCCGGCAGCGGUAGUAACAGCGUCGGUGUCAGCCAACGCCCCUCCAGCGGCACCAAGCAGGGCGCCCCCCAGGGCCCCUCCAACGUCACUCCCUAGCUCUCCUUCCAGAACCCGUGGACUGGGGCCAUCCAGAUGUGGCCCGGUACAUGCGCUCCGCAGCCCGGGGCACCCCACGCCAUGCUGGCCCAGUUCUCCAUGCCACGCUAGCCCAGCAGGCGCAGCUCCAGGCACUCCAGGUAGCCCAGUUCCAGGCUGCCCAGCUGUAGGCUGCCCAAUUGCAGGCGGCCCAGGCGCAGGCUCAGGCAUACUAGGCCGCCUAGGCAUAGGCUCUACAGCAGGUGCCGUACCAGCUCUCCAUCGCCGGCACCGCCACCAGCACACCAUCGUGGGAUUAGCAAUCCCUCGCCUCCACCUUCAACACUAUGACGCUAAACCAGCCGCAGCAGCACAAGUGGUACUUCGAUUCAGGUGCUACCUCCCACAUGACCUCCGAUGCUCAUUCCUUCUCGCAUAAUUUCACCCAGCGGUACCCUUUUCCAUCAGCUAUUGUUGUCGGUGACAGUUCUUUACUUCUUGUCACCUCCACUAGCGCAGAUGUUCAUCCGGGUCCUUAACAUCUUAAUAAUGUUCUUGUUUUACCCAACCUUAUUAAGAAUCUUAUUUCCAUUCGCCAAUUUACCAUCGAUAACAAUUGCUCAGUUGAAUUUGAUUUGUCUGGUUGUUCUGUGAAGGAUCUUCGAUCCAGGAAUGUGAUUGUCAGGUGCAAUAGUUCGGGUCCGCUAUACCCCCUGCACCUCCCUGCUGCUGCUACUCUUACUGCUGGCGUCACCUCCACGGUCUGGCACCAUCGUCUCGGCCAUCCUAGGCAGGAAGCCCUCGCCCGUCUUGCGCUAAUUUUACCUUCAUGUAAUAAAGACAUUAGCUCAUCUCUCUGCCAUGCAUGUCAGCUCGAACUACACACUCGUCUUCCCUUUCGAGUGUCCUCCUCUUGAGCUUCCAGGAAUUUUGAUCUUAUUCAUUGUGAUCUCUGGACAUCACCUAUUCCUAGCAUCUCAGGUUUUAAAUAUUAUUUAAUUGUUCUCAAUGCUUGCUCUCACUUUUCUAGAACUUUUCCUCUAAGGCUGAAAUCUGACACAUUUGAUACUCUUGCUAAUUUCUUUUCCUACGUGCUUACACAGUUCGGCGCCACCAUUAAGGUCGUCCAGUGCGAGAACGGUCAUGAGUUUGACAACUCUAGCGCUCGCACGUUCUUCCUCUCCCGUGGCGUCCACUUCUGGUGGUAUGCUCUGAUGCUGAUUGGGCGGGCUAUCCUGACACACGCAAAUCCACUUCCGGUUAUGUGGUCUUCCUCGGCGACAACCUGAUCUCUUGGUCCUCAAAGCGUCAGCCCACCGUCUCGCCAAAGCUGAGUACCGUGUUGUGGCCAAUGCCGUCGCCGAAGCUACCUGGCUAUGCCAGCUACUUCAAGAGCUCCAUGCCCCCACUUCACCGCACCUCCUUGGUCUAUUGCGACAACAUCAACGCGGUCUACAUGUCCUCCAAUCUGGUUCAGCAUCAGCACACCAAACAUAUCGAGAUCGAUCUUCACUUCAUUCAGGAGCGCGUCGCUGUGGGUGACGUUCGUGUACUACAUGUUCCCACAUCGUCCUAAUACGCCGAUGUCUUCACCAAGGGGUUGUCGUCUUCUAUUUUUACAGAAUUUAGGUCCAGUCUAAACAUUCGUGGCACCAGCGAUUAGACUGCAGGGGCGUGUUAGAAUGUGUGUAAUUGGACCCUAGCCCGGCUAGGCCCAUGCGCAUGGCUCCCCCUGAUAGGCGCCUAUUGUGCCAGAUCAAGAGCUAGCCGCCAGGGUUUUCUCGUAGAAUAGGUAAGGCUCCUAACCCUAGGACCCUUGUCUAUAUAUGUGUACGUGCUAUGCACCUCCGUAAUCAAUCUAUAAUUUCCUAGUCAUAUUUGCUUUCAGCAAGACCAAGGCAUCCUCCACAUGGAGGAUCUCAUAAUUGCCCUUGUGCUUCUCCCUAUUCUUUUAUUAUAGCAACCUGACCAGUCUAGUGACCGUGACAACAUUACCCACAUCAAACUUGAUGAAAUCAACAAUCUUACCUGUCUCCGGAUCAAUUUUGAUUGUGUCAUUCACUCAUUUGCCUUUGGCCUGUUUAUUUCUGCAGGACCGUGCAGUGUGGCAGCAGGGAUGACGCCCGGGUGCGCGGAGCCCCGGUGGUGGGAUCGACGACAAGGGUGCGCGUGCGGGGCGGUCGCCCCGACCUGGUGCUGGUGGCUGCCUGUGCAUCACCGACACUUGGUGGCUCUACAUCCAGGUGGCUUUGCGUUUCGUGCGGCUGUACAAUUCUAUAAAUACAAAAGUCUCUCUACAUGUACAAUUUGAUCACUACACAAAAUAUCUCUACACUACCUGAUCACUACAAUACACCGAAGCGACAACACCUAUCGUUCUGGUAGGUGAAGUUGCAACCAAGUGUUAGGUGAAGAUAGAAUAAUUAGCUGAAAAAAAAUCAGUUUUACAACAGGCAUCAAAGGGGAAGAGCAAUAUCAUUUCAGUCAAUAGUAUAAACAAUAUGCUUUACAAUAAGUAUUUUAUAAUACAGGUAAUCUAAUAAAAUCAAGUUUGUGUUCAAAAAAUAUAUAUAGUCGACUUGUCCAUCCGUAUCUCCAUGUUAUCUUGUUAGUUGGCUCUGAACGUCCAAAAAGAAUGCCAAUUGGUGAGCUGCUGAGGUCAAUUAUAACAUGCUAGACCUAUUGGUACGUCAAUAAAAUCACUAAACUGCUUUGACUAGGUAAAAGGGGUUAAUUUGUCUGGUUUUAAGAGAUGUUAGAUGUGUGUUGUCUAGUAUUCGAGCUCAAGAUUUUUCUUACUCUUCCCUUCCUUCCUCCUUCAAACCUCUCAUCCGAGCCCAAUCUCUCGCAUGGAGCCCGACUCCUCUUAGACCUCCUUUGGAAUAUAGGAUACAUGUAGAAAUUUUGUAGGAUUUGAAUUCUAUAGGAAUUUUUCUCAUGUGUCCCUUUGGAACAAAGGAUUGGCUAACCUUUUAAUCCUUCAAAAUUCAUAUGGAAUGGUUUAAUCCAUAGGAAUUUUGGAGAAAAUCUAACAUGAGGUCUAACCUCUUGGAAACUCUUCUUUGUGUCUAUCUCUCUUCUCGUUUCUUUGUUUUUCCUACGUUGCAUCCAAACACACAAUUACAAAUUUUUCUACAUUAUCAAUUUUUAUAGGAUUGCAAAUAUCACGUAACUCCGUUCCUACGUUUUUCCUAUUCCCACGUUUGGAGAUUCCUUUUUAAAGAUGUCCUUAGCUUUCUAUUUUAGGCCUUGUUUAGUUCCCAAUUUAGGAGUGGCAAAAUUGGCAUUUUGCCAUAAAUGCGCAAUGUAGUAUUUUGUUUGUAUUUGUGAAUUAUUAUCCAAACAUUGGCUAAUUAGGCUCAAAAGAUUCGUCUCGCAAAGUACAAUAAAAAUGUGCAAUUAGUUUUUGAUUUUAUCUAUAUUUAGUACUCCAUACAUGUACCGCAAGUUUGAUGUGAUGGGGAAUCUUUUUUUACAUAGUGUUAAAGUUGGGAUUUUGGAGGGAAGUAAAGAAGGGCUUAUUUGUUAUAUGAUUGAUCGUAUGUGACAGUGACCGUGCAACACCUGCAACGUUGAGGUACGUGACAAGGCCACACAUGCAUAUGCCAGCUCAUUGGCUCGCCCUAAUCAGGCACUACCGUCCACAGAAGUCUGAACAACGGGCGUGAACCAGGCUGUACCCUCGUGGUCAUUGUAGAAUGCACAUGGAAAGCCGUGAUGAUAUUAUUUUCUAUUAAAGCCGUAAUGAUCAGGGCUUUCGAUGAUAUUACUCAAAUUUAAAGCCGUAAUGAUGCUGUCGACGAUACUACCGUCCACAGAAGUGGCGCCGGAAGUCCUCGCACGCUGACAACGCAACACUGUUGUUAGUACUGCCAUGGGACCUACUAGUGACAAGGCAGCACAUGCAUGUAGACCCGCUGUUGUUGACGGCUCUCCCUCAGCAAGGACGCUGGGAGCAAUAAUGAGGCCACAUCUGCUUCAUCAUGAUCCUUCGCCGAUUAUUGUUUCAGUCCUUUUGCUUCGCUGUACCUAUAGACCAGUAAUGCUGGACUGAAUCAUGAUUUGAGACCUAAUCCCUUCGUUAAUCUUCUGUAAAGCAGCACAUGUGUAAAGCCUACACGACGAUGUUUUUUCCCCCUCCUGUUUCGCUUUCGCCAUUUGACGAGAUCAACGAAAUUCAUCCGCAACAUCCAUGCAUGAUGAUGAAAUUUGGAGCCUUCUUGACAUGACUUCACCUCCAACUCCCAACUUUGGCACUAUGCAAAAAGAAGAUUCCUCAUCACAUCAAACUUGCGAUACAUGCAUGGAGUACUAAAUGUAGAUGAAAUUAAAAACUAAUUGCACAGUUUUGUUACUUUGCGAGACGAAUCUAUUGAGCCUAAUUAGUCAAUGUUUGACAAUAAUUCAUAAAUACAAACGAAACGCUACAGUAUGCUACAGUGCCAGCACAGUAAUUUAGCACCUCCCAAUUUGGCCAACUAAACAAGGAUUGUGACUCGUGCAGCUGGUACAGAGAGUGACUGAUUCCUGCAUUCUAUUAUUGCCUCUUGAAUAUUCCGUGGCUGUUCAACUGUGUUGUGACGGUGAACAUGAAAAUUGCUUUUUAUAUUUAUGUAUUUUCGUUUGCAAUUUGGGCUUUAUUGAGCUUUUCUAUUUGUUAUGUCCUCAAACUUAAAAUCUUUUUUUUUCUAACAGCGCACAUGAUAUAUCAAUGAUCUUACUGUCUUGCUUCGGAUUAGCAACCUGGUAAUCAUGAAUUAAUUAGACUUAAUAGAUUCGUCUCGCGAAUUAAUUAGCUGCAAUUGGCUUUGUAAUUAGUCUAAAUGUUUAAUACUCCUAAUUAGUAUCUAAACAUUCGAUGUGAUAGGAGCUAAAUUUUAGCUCGAGGAACCGAGCAAAUCCUGCAAUUUUGAAAAGGUGAGGCACUAGUUAAAUUUUAACACGUUAAUAAUUUUAUAAAAUAAAUUCAAGAGACCUUGUCGACGAAAUAAAAGUGGUAGGUACACCGUACACAUCAUUAUUGUCAAGUCAUCGGGCCCAUUUGUUUCGUUCACCAAGAGUCCAAUCGCUAUAAUUGGAGAGGAAGAAAUGGAAGAAUGUGACUCGACCAAUAGAUAAAUGGUAUCGCUUUUUCCCUGUGAGCGCAACCCAGGAAAUGCAAAAGGCUGCUCCAGAAUGCAGAACAUUUAUAUGGUCUUUGAACACACAUGGCUACCUGAACACUGUGCACCGGUAAACACGUUUGUUCAGUGAUCAAUCCAUCAUUAGCAUAACUAAACCAGGAUGUGACUAUUAAGUAGGAGUAUUACCUUAAGAUGUGAACAGAAACACUGCAGCUUCACAAGCACAGCCAACAGCAUCCACACCUGUCGUCAUCAGCUUAUAAAAAUAGCUUGGACUUGUCUAUCAUCUUCUGAUCCUUUGCUUAUUUUAUGGCUCCUGGUGUGAGCUGAGCACAAGUCUUCCAUGCUAGUCUUCUCCUUCUGCCAUUGCAAGUCUUGCAGAAACAUAUCCUCUUCUCCAUCUUCUCUUCCCGUACGCCGCCGGCCCCUCCGCUGCGACCGCUACUGCCCCGCCUCUGCUACUGCUGCUCUGUCAGCCUAGGCACCCAAGAAGGUCAGUGCUUGGCGGUUGUCUCCAUUUACCUCCAAAGCGCUUCCGCAGACCAUCCUCUUCUCCACUCCAAAGUGUCUUCUCAUUUCUCAGCGUGCGUUCUCGUGAGCUCUGACUGCUCCAAUGGCCGAGCUUGUGGGCAGCAUGGUGGUCGGGCCACUGCUGUCUCUGGUGAAGGAGAAGGCGUCCAGCUACCUCCUGGACCAGUACAAGGUCAUGGAGGGCAUGGAGGAGCAGCACAAGAAGCUCAAGGUCAUGCUGCCGGCCAUCCUGGAAAGGAUCACUGACGCAGAGAAGCAGGCAACCUCCAGAGAAGCAAUCAGACCCUGGCUUCAGGAGCUUAAGGUGGCGGCGUACGAGGCCAUCCAAGUCUUCGAUGAAUUCAACUAUGAGGCCCUCCGUCGUCAAGCCAAGAAAGAGGGGCGCUACAUCAAGCUCGGCAUGGAUGCAGUAAAACUCUUUCCCACUCACAACCGCAUCAUGUUCCAUUACAGGAUGGGCAACAAGCUUUGCAAGAUUGUGCGUGAUAUUGAUGCCCUUGUCAAGCAUAUGCACGACUUUGGGUUCGACAAACAGCCACAAGCGCAGGUUCAGAUAAAUUAUCUGCGUGAGAAUGACUCCACCAUGGUUGAUCCAGAGAUUGUCAGCAGAUCCAGAGAUGAAGAGAAGCAAAAGAUUGUUAGAAUGUUGGUCAAAGAACAAGCUAACAAUAAGGAUCCAAUGGUCGUUCCCAUUGUGGGGAUGGGUGGGUUGGGCAAGACCACCCUAGCUCAGCUCAUCUUUAAUGACCCUGAAGUGAAGAAGCAUUUCCACCAACUAAUGAAGUGGGUCUGCGUGUCAGAUGAUUUCGAUGUUUGUAACCUUGCCAACAAGAUCUGCAACGCUUCUGAGAGCAACCUGGAGAAUGCCUUGCAGAAGCUUCAGAGAGAACUCGCUGGAAAGAGGUACUUUUAGAAUUUAAUUUGAUGUUGAUUCACUCAUCUCAAACACGCACACUGGUUUUUUUUCCUCACACACGCUCAAAAUAUGUGCAUUACCCUUGAGAAUAACACGUAAUUGAAAGGAUAAGUAAAGCACAUGCAAACUACAUACACAAAAUUCAACUUCAAACUUAGAUCCGCAUACACUUUUAAUUGCUAGUGCUAGUGAACUUCGUACACUUGAAGAAACUAUGAAAAAUGUACACGCACACAUCAUGUCAAGUCGUACACAGAAGGCAACAUCCAACAUUUUUUUUAAUUAAGGAAAAACAUCCGAUCUUGAACAUUCACACGUGAAUAGAAAAUUUUAGGAUCAUUUGAUCAAAAAUUUUAAGUGAAUAGAUCUUCAAAAGGUUAGCAGGAAAAAAACAUUUCAUCUUUUUCUGCUCCCUCAACUCAUGCUAAGGAGCUGCAAAAGCUAACGACGCCUCUUGUUUUGAGGCCCCAGCAUUGAAAUCAAGAAGACAACAACGCCUCACCACUGGCAAGUUGCCCUCUAGAUAUGCACGGAACUUGCACAUCUCACAUACCAUUUACGCUUCCUCUGGUGGCAUUCACAUAACUUAAGAAAAAGACGUACACAAAUAGAAACGCACUAAUGACAUGAUUAUUUGUAACAGGUAUCUUCUUGUAUUGGACGACGUCUGGAAUAAGGAUGAUAACAAGUGGAACAAGCUGAAUGCUUGUCUUAAACAUGGUGAUGUUGGUAGCGCCAUACUAACGACAACCCGUGAUAAAGAAAUAGCUCAACUCAUGGGUAUAGAUAAAGAACAUGGCAUUGCACGUUUGGACAAUAAAUUCAUCAAGGAAAUUAUUGAGGCUAAAGCAUUCAUUUCGCAAGAGAGAAAACCAGCUGAUUUAGCUGGCUUGGUUGAUGACGUUGUUGAGAGAUGUGCAGGGUCUCCAUUGGCAGCGAAGGCACUAGGAUCUGUACUACGUGGCAAGACAACGGAAGAAUGGAAGGCUGUGCUUAGCAAAAGCAUCGCCCAUAACAAGGACGAUCAAAUCCUGCCUAUUCUCAAGCUCAGUUACGAUGACCUGCCAUCACACAUGAAGCAGUGCUUCGCUUUCUGUGCUGUGUUUCCCAAGGACCAUGAGAUUGACGUGGAAAUGCUGAUCCAACUAUGGAUGGCAAAUGACUUUAUUCCCGAACAAAAAGAUGCUCAUCAUGAAACAAUUGGUAAACAGAUUUUCAGUGAGCUGGUCUCAAAGUCAUUCUUUCAAGAUGUGAAGCAAGUCAAAGGGGAAAGAUAUGAUUCCGUGUAUUGGUAUUUCUCUACAAGUACAUGUAAAAUCCAUGAUCUUAUGCACGAUGUGGCACUUUCUGUCAUGGGCAAAGAAGUUGCUACCAUAACUGAGAAGCCAAAGCAGAGUGAUGAGUUUCUUCAGAACACUUGUCGUCAUAUAUUGUUAUCAUGUGAGAAGCCAGAGGCCGUUUUGAAUGAUUCUCUGAAUAUAAGGUCUCCAGCUAUGCAAACACUACUAUGUGGUCAGCGCAUAGGAAAUUCCCUGCAGCAUCUCGCAAAAUACAGCUCUCUGCGUGCAUUGGGACUUUGGCAGGAUAAGAGCACAAUCCUACUGAAACCAAAGCAGCUACAUCUCUUGAGGUAUCUUGAUAUCUCGGGUAGUGAUAUAGUGGCACUUCCGGAAGAUAUCAGCAUUUUGUACAAUCUGCAAACGCUGAAUGUUGCGCACUGUCGCAAACUUGGCCGGCUUCCAAAGGGAAUAAAGUACAUGACUGCCCUCCGUCACCUCUACACUCACGGAUGUAAGGAGUUGAAGCGCAUGCCACCAGAGGUUGGACAUCUCACUUCCCUGCAAACACUUACAAAUUUCGUAGUGGGUGCAGGCCCUGAUUGCAGUAGUAUUGCAGAGCUGCAGCAUUUAAACAACCUUGGUGGUCCACUACUGCUUAGUCAACUCGAAAAUGUGACAAAAGCAGCAGAUGCAAAACAGGCCAAUCUUGGAAAUAAAAAGGAGCUCAGGGCAUUGUCAUUAACGUGGACACGUAGUGAGGGGGAGAAACAACAUUGUCAUAAGGUGCUGGAGGGUCUGGAAGCUCCUCCUGGACUAGAGGCUCUGAGGUUAAAGUAUUACCAAGGAACCAGUUUCCCAACAUGGGUGGGUACGCGGCCAAAAAUGGUGGAGCUUCAUCUUUCUGACUGUAACAAGUCCAAUAAGCUUCCUCCACUUGAGAGUGUACCAGCUCUACAAGUUCUUCGUCUGGAAAGAUUGAAAAAGCUGGAAAGCUUGUGCAGUGGUGGUACAUUCUUUCACUUUCCUAAUCUGAAGGAGCUUACGCUGGAAGACCUGCCGGAAUUUGAUAGAUGGUGUGAAGUAAACUGGGUCCAAGGAGAACAGAUAAUGUUUCCUCAACUUGAGAAAUUGUUUAUUACAAAUUGUGGAAAGGUUACAGCAUUACCAGGGCCAGCACUUCUCGGAGGAUCGUGCUGUGGAGAUUACAAGGAGCAAGACGAGAGGAAGCUUUGGUCGGCAUUUCCAGUCCUGAAGGAACUCGAAUUAAAAUGCUUAGCAAAGUUUCAGAGGUGGGGGGGCGCUGCUGAAGCAACUCAAGGGCUGCAGAUAAUAUUUCCUCAGCUUGAAAGUUUAUCAAUUUACAGAUGUAAAGAGUUGACAGCACUGCCAGAGGGGCCUGAGCUCGGAGCAGCACCGAAGGUGCUAAAAUCACAAGACUUGGAGCUUGGGACAACAUUGUGUGGUGGAGAUUAUGGAAAGGCACGAUCAUCCUUUCCAGCACUGAAGGUACUAACAUUGUUUUGGUUGGACAACUUUCAGAGCUGGGAGGCAACGGAAGCAGAUCAAGGAGAUACAAUAUUUCCAAAUCUUGAAGAGUUAUCAAUCGAAAAGUGCCCCGAACUGGCAGCAUUACCAUCAGCUACAUCUCAGGGAGUAUCAUUUGACCAUAGUGGUGUUACAGCAUGGUCAACAUUCCCAAACUUAAAGAAGCUCCAGUUAUGUUACUUAGAUAGUUUUAAGAGCUUGGGGAUGACGGAAGAUCAGAGAUUCCCUGACCUUGAGACUCUGUUUGUUGAGAAAUGUCCCAAGUUGACAACUCUACCGAGGGUGAUAGAAGCACCAAAGCUCCGUGUAUUAGAAAUAUAUGGCAGCCAACUGACAGCAAUAAUUGUGCCUACAGUUAUUAACUCAUUGUCCGAACUGGUGUUAUCAGUCGAAGACACAGAAACUACUUUACCAACUGUGCAUGGUGCCUUUGAGCUGGUGGACGCCAAUAAUAAAUACCCUCUGACAGAUCUGGAGCUAAGCGGCUGCAACUUUCUGUUCCCCUCAAGUCCACUGGCACUAUGGACAUGUUUUGUCCAGCUCCAACGUUUGACAAUGAAGAUCAACCAUGCGCUUGUCUACUGGCCGGAAAAAGAGUUCCAGAGCUUGGUAUCCUUGAGGCACCUUACCAUUUGGAACUGCAGUGGUCUGAUUGGGUACGCGAAAGCUGCUCCUGGCCAACCAAUAUCAGAAAGGACCCAAGUUCUGCCCCGUCUC
rnacentral:lncRNA from 1 species